rnacentral:piRNA from 1 species
UUCGGAAAAAAAAUGCAAAAA